CCUACGGGAGGCAGCAGUGGGGGAUAUUGCACAAUGGGGGAAACCCUGAUGCAGCGACGCCGCGUGGGUGAAGAAGCGCCUCGGCGCGUAAAGCCCUGUCAGCAGGGAAGAAAAUGACGGUACCUGAAGAAGAAGCCCCGGCUAACUACGUGCCAGCAGCCGCGGUAAUACGUAGGGGGCAAGCGUUAUCCGGAUUUACUGGGUGUAAAGGGGGCGCAGACGGCGAUGCAAGCCAGGAGUGAAAGCCCGGGGCCCAACCCCGGGCCUGCUCUUGGAACUGCGUGGCUAGAGUGCAGGAGGGGCAGGCGGAAUUCCGGGGGGAGCGGUGAAAUGCGUAGAUAGCAGGAGGAACACCGGUGGCGAAGGCGGCCUGCUGGACUGCAACUGACGUUGAGGCCCGAAAGCGUGGGGAGCAAACAGGAUUAGAUACCCCUGUAGUC
rnacentral:rRNA from 1 species